rnacentral:rRNA from 1 species
UACGUAGGGUGCAAGCGUUAAUCGGAAUUACUGGGCGUAAAGCGUGCGCAGGCGGUGAUGUAAGACAGGUGUGAAAUCCCCGGGCUUAACCUGGGAACUGCAUUUGUGACUGCAUCGCUGGAGUGCGGUAGAGGGGGAUGGAAUUCCGCGUGUAGCAGUGAAAUGCGUAGAUAUGCGGAGGAACACCGAUGGCGAAGGCAAUCCCCUGGACCUGUACUGACGCUCAUGCACGAAAGCGUGGGGAGCAAACAGG